AUUGAACGCUGGCGGCAGGCCUAACACAUGCAAGUCGAACGAGUGGCGGACGGGUGAGUAAUGUCUGGGAAACUGCCCGAUGGAGGGGGAUAACUACUGGAAACGGUAGCUAAUACCGCAUACCAUCGGAUGUGCCCAGAUGGGAUUGGCUAGUAGGUGGGGUAUCGGCUCACCUGGGCGACGAUCCCUAGCUGGUCUGAGAGGAUGACCAGCAACAUGGGACCUGAGACACGGUCCAGACUCCUACGGGAGGCAGCAGUGGGGAAUAUUGCAAAAUGGGCGCAGGCCUGAUGCAGCCAUGCCGCGUGUAGGAAGAAGGCCUUCGGGUUGUAAAGUACUUUCAGCGAGGAGGCGUUACUCGCAGAAGAAGCACCGGCUAACUCCGUGCCAGCAGCCGCGGUAAUAC
rnacentral:rRNA from 1 species